UACGUAGGGUGCGAGCGUUGUCCGGAAUUAUUGGGCGUAAAGAGCUUGUAGGCGGUUUGUCGCGUCUGCCGUGAAAAUCCGGGGCUCAACCCCGGACUUGCGGUGGGUACGGGCAGACUAGAGUGUGGUAGGGGAGACUGGAAUUCCUAGUGUAGCGGUGAAAUGCGCAGAUAUCAGGAGGAACACCGAUGGCGAAGGCAGGUCUCUGGGCCACUACUGACGCUGAGAAGCGAAAGCGUGGGGAGCGAACAGG
rnacentral:rRNA from 1 species